AGACCGAUAGCGAACAAGUACAGUGAUGGAAAGAUGAAAAGCACUUUGAAAAGAGAGUGAAAAAGUACGUGAAAUUGUUGAAAGGGAAGGGCUUGCAAGCAGACACUUAACUGGGCCAGCAUCGGGGCGGCGGGAAACAAAACCACCGGGGAAUGUACCUUUCGAGGAUUAUAACCCCGGUCUCAAUUUCCUUGUUGCCCCGAGGCCUGCAAUCUAAGGAUGCUGGCGUAAUGGUUGCAAGUCGCCCGUCUUGAAACACGGACCAAG
rnacentral:rRNA from 1 species